rnacentral:rRNA from 1 species
UACGGGGGGAGCAAGCGUUGUUCGGAUUUACUGGGCGUAAAGGGCGCGUAGGCGGCCACCGCAAGUCGGUUGUGAAAUCUCCGGGCUUAACCCGGAAAGGUCAAUCGAUACUGCGGGGCUAGAGUGCAGAGGGGCAACUGGAAUUCUCGGUGUAGCGGUGAAAUGCGUAGAUAUCGAGAGGAACACCUGCGGCGAAGGCGGGUUGCUGGGCUGACACUGACGCUGAAGCGCGAAAGCUAGGGGAGCGAACGGG